ACGAACGCUGGCGGCGUGCUUAACACAUGCCAGUCGAACGGAAAGGCCCUGCUUUUGUGGGGUGUUCGAGUGGCGAACGGGUGAGUAACACGUGAGUAACCUGCCCUUGACUUUGGGAUAACUUCUGGAAACUGGGGCUAAUACCGGAUAGGAGCUCCUGCUGCAUGGUGGGGGUUGGAAAGUUUCGGCGGUUGGGGUUGGACUCGCGGCUUAUCAGCUUGUUGGUGGGGUAGUGGCUUACCAAGGCUUUGACGGGUAGCCGGCCUGAGAGGGUGACCGGCCACAUUGGGACUGAGAUACGGCCCAGACUCCUACGGGAGGCAGCAGUGGGGAAUAUUGCACAAUGGGCGGAAGCCUGAUGCAGCAACGCCGCGUGCGGGAUGACGGCCUUCGGGUUGUAAACCGCUUUCGCCUGUGACGAAGCGUGAGUGACGGUAAUGGGUAAAGAAGCACCGGCUAACUACGUG
rnacentral:rRNA from 1 species